UCUCGUAUGAUGAGCACGAGUCUGUC
rnacentral:piRNA from 1 species